AAAUUGAAGAGUUUGAUCAUGGCUCAGAUUGAACGCUGGCGGCAGGCCUAACACAUGCAAGUCGAACGGUAACAGGAAGCAGCUUGCUGCUUCGCUGACGAGUGGCGGACGGGUGAGUAAUGUCUGGGAAACUGCCUGAUGGAGGGGGAUAACUACUGGAAACGGUAGCUAAUACCGCAUAACGUCGCAAGACCAAAGAGGGGGACCUUCGGGCCUCUUGCCAUCGGAUGUGCCCAGAUGGGAUUAGCUUGUUGGUGGGGUAACGGCUCACCAAGGCGACGAUCCCUAGCUGGUCUGAGAGGAUGACCAGCCACACUGGAACUGAGACACGGUCCAGACUCCUACGGGAGGCAGCAGUGGGGAAUAUUGCACAAUGGGCGCAAGCCUGAUGCAGCCAUGCCGCGUGUAUGAAGAAGGCCUUCGGGUUGUAAAGUACUUUCAGCGGGGAGGAAGGGAGUAAAGUUAAUACCUUUGCUCAUUGACGUUACCCGCAGAAGAAGCACCGGCUAAC
rnacentral:rRNA from 1 species